rnacentral:rRNA from 1 species
AAAACUCUAAGCGGUGGAUCACUCGGCUCAUGGGUCGAUGAAGAACGCAGCAAACUGUGCGUCAUCGUGUGAACUGCAGGACACAUGAACAUCGACAUUUUGAACGCAUAUCGCAGUCCAUGCUGUUAUGUACUUUAAUUAAUUUUAUAGUGCUGCUUGGACUACAUAUGGUUGAGGGUUGUAAGACUAUGCUAAUUAAGUUGCUUAUAAAUUUUUAUAAGCAUAUGGUAUAUUAUUGGAUAAAUAUAAUAAUUUUUAUUCAUAAUAUUAAAAAAUAAAUGAAAAACAUUAUCUCACAUUUGAAUGUGAAAAACGAAGAGAAAUAUUUUCUUUUUCAAUCAAAUAAUACUGAGAAAUGUCUAGCAUAAAAAAUUGAAAUAUUUUUCAUCUAGAAUUGUCUCUUAUUAAUGAUUCGGAAAUAGAAAAAUCUUGGUUAUGUUAUUAUUCUUCGUUGGUUCGUUAAAAAUGGAUAAAUAAAAACUUUGCAUACAAGAAUUAAUAAAAAUGUUAUAACGAAUUUAAUUAAAUGUUUUAUCAUUAUAUAUAAAGAAUUUAUGGCAAGAUAAAGUUAUAUACAACCUCAACUCAUAUGGGACUACCCCCUGAAUUUAAGCAUAUUAAUUAGGGGAGGAAAAGAAACUAACAAGGAUUUUCUUAGUAGCGGCGAGCGAAAAGAAAACAGUUCAGCACUAAGUCACUUUGUCUAUAUGGCAAAUGUGAGAUGCAGUGUAUGGAGCGUCAAUAUUCUAGUAUGAGAAAUUAACGAUUUAAGUCCUUCUUAAAUGAGGCCAUUUACCCAUAGAGGGUGCCAGGCCCGUAUAACGUUAAUGAUUACUAGAUGAUGUUUCCAAAGAGUCGUGUUGCUUGAUAGUGCAGCACUAAGUGGGUGGUAAACUCCAUCUAAAACUAAAUAUAACCAUGAGACCGAUAGUAAACAAGUACCGUGAGGGAAAGUUGAAAAGAACUCUGAAUAGAGAGUUAAACAGUACGUGAAACUGCUUAGAGGUUAAGCCCGAUGAACCUGAAUAUCCGUUAUGGAAAAUUCAUCAUUAAAAUUGUAAUAUUUAAAUAAUAUUAUGAGAAUAGUGUGCAUUUUUUCCAUAUAAGGACAUUGUAAUCUAUUAGCAUAUACCAAAUUUAUCAUAAAAUAUAACUUAUAGUUUAUUCCAAUUAAAUUGCUUGCAUUUUAACACAGAAUAAAUGUUAUUAAUUUGAUAAAGUGCUGAUAGAUUUAUAUGAUUACAGUGCGUUAAUUUUUCGGAAUUAUAUAAUGGCAUAAUUAUCAUUGAUUUUUGUGUUUAUUAUAUGCACUUGUAUGAUUAACAAUGCGAAAGAUUCAGGAUACCUUCGGGACCCGUCUUGAAACACGGACCAAGGAGUCUAACAUAUGUGCAAGUUAUUGGGAUAUAAACCUAAUAGCGUAAUUAACUUGACUAAUAAUGGGAUUAGUUUUUAGCUAUUUAUAGCUAAUUAACACAAUCCCGGGGCGUUCUAUAUAGUUAUGUAUAAUGUAUAUUUAUAUUAUUUAUGCCUCUAACUGGAACGUACCUUGAGCAUAUAUGCUGUGACCCGAAAGAUGGUGAACUAUACUUGAUCAGGUUGAAGUCAGGGGAAACCCUGAUGGAAGACCGAAACAGUUCUGACGUGCAAAUCGAUUGUCAGAAUUGAGUAUAGGGGCGAAAGACCAAUCGAACCAUCUAGUAGCUGGUUCCUUCCGAAGUUUCCCUCAGGAUAGCUGGUGCAUUUUAAUAUUAUAUAAAAUAAUCUUAUCUGGUAAAGCGAAUGAUUAGAGGCCUUAGGGUCGAAACGAUCUUAACCUAUUCUCAAACUUUAAAUGGGUAAGAACCUUAACUUUCUUGAUAUGAAGUUCAAGGUUAUGAUAUAAUGUGCCCAGUGGGCCACUUUUGGUAAGCAGAACUGGCGCUGUGGGAUGAACCAAACGUAAUGUUACGGUGCCCAAAUUAACAACUCAUGCAGAUACCAUGAAAGGCGUUGGUUGCUUAAAACAGCAGGACGGUGAUCAUGGAAGUCGAAAUCCGCUAAGGAGUGUGUAACAACUCACCUGCCGAAGCAACUAGCCCUUAAAAUGGAUGGCGCUGAAGUUGUAUACCUAUACAUUACCGCUAAAGUAGAUGAUUUAUAUUACUUGUGAUAUAAAUUUUGAAACUUUAGUGAGUAGGAAGGUACAAUGGUAUGCGUAGAAGUGUUUGGCGUAAGCCUGCAUGGAGCUGCCAUUGGUACAGAUCUUGGUGGUAGUAGCAAAUAAUCGAAUGAGACCUUGGAGGACUGAAGUGGAGAAGGGUUUCGUGUGAACAGUGGUUGAUCACGAGUUAGUCGGUCCUAAGUUCAAGGCGAAAGCCGAAAAUUUUCAAGUAAAACAAAAAUGCCUAACUAUAUAAACAAAGCGAAUUAUAAUACACUUGAAUAAUUUUGAACGAAAGGGAAUACGGUUCCAAUUCCGUAACCUGUUGAGUAUCCGUUUGUUAUUAAAUAUGGGCCUCGUGCUCAUCCUGGCAACAGGAACGACCAUAAAGAAGCCGUCGAGAGAUAUCGGAAGAGUUUUCUUUUCUGUUUUAUAGCCGUACUACCAUGGAAGUCUUUCGCAGAGAGAUAUGGUAGAUGGGCUAGAAGAGCAUGACAUAUACUGUUGUGUCGAUAUUUUCUCCUCGGACCUUGAAAAUUUAUGGUGGGGACACGCAAACUUCUCAACAGGCCGUACCAAUAUCCGCAGCUGGUCUCCAAGGUGAAGAGUCUCUAGUCGAUAGAAUAAUGUAGGUAAGGGAAGUCGGCAAAUUAGAUCCGUAACUUCGGGAUAAGGAUUGGCUCUGAAGAUUGAGAUAGUCGGGCUUGAUUGGGAAACAAUAACAUGGUUUAUGUGCUCGUUCUGGGUAAAUAGAGUUUCUAGCAUUUAUGUUAGUUACUUGUUCCCCGGAUAGUUUAGUUACGUAGCCAAUUGUGGAACUUUCUUGCUAAAAUUUUUAAGAAUACUAUUUGGGUUAAACCAAUUAGUUCUUAUUAAUUAUAACGAUUAUCAAUUAACAAUCAAUUCAGAACUGGCACGGACUUGGGGAAUCCGACUGUCUAAUUAAAACAAAGCAUUGUGAUGGCCCUAGCGGGUGUUGACACAAUGUGAUUUCUGCCCAGUGCUCUGAAUGUCAAAGUGAAGAAAUUCAAGUAAGCGCGGGUCAACAAGCAACUAGCGGUGUAUUUUGCAAACCGCAGCGUCGAAGCCAUCAAAAAGCUAAGACAGAGGGGCGAUUAUAAGGAGAAAAUAGAGCAGAUAAGAGGGCAAUCAGCUCUCGCCCCGGAAGUUGCUAAUCUAACCAUAAGGCGCCGCCCUAGUAGAAGUGAGCAAGACCACCAAGUAACAACAUCGGAAACAACUCCAAUCACUCCCUUCGAACAGUCGAACAGGGAAAUUUUGCGGACACUACGCGGGUAUAGCCCCGUAGAAUGCCAUUCCAAAUGGAGAGCCCAAGAGUUGCAAACUAUCAUUGAUAGGGCACAUCUCGAGGGAAAGGAAACCACUCUCCAAUGCUUAUCGCUAUAUCUCCUGGGAAUUUUUCCGGCACAGGGUGUACGACACACACUGACGAGACCUCCUCGGAGACCUCGGAACAGGAGAGAAAGCAGAAGGCAGCAGUACGCUGUCGUCCAGCGUAACUGGGAUAAGCAUAAAGGAAGAUGCAUCAAGUCCUUGCUAAAUGGAACUGAUGAGUCGGUAAUGCCAAGCCAAGAAAUAAUGGUUCCCUACUGGAGAGAAGUAAUGACUCAGCCUAGCCCAAGCUCUUGCAGUGGAGAAGUGAUACAAAUGGAUCACUCGCUUGAGAGGGUAUGGUCUGCUAUUACAGAGCAGGACCUUCGGGCGUCAAGAGUCUCAUUAUCCUCGUCUCCGGGGCCUGACGGGAUAACU